rnacentral:misc_RNA from 1 species
GUAGUUUCUUUUGCCAGUAACAGGAUCAGGCGACCUGUAGGAAUCGGCGAGAAGAGUAGAAGUGAAAAAGGUUAUGAAUGAGAACGCCGUGAGAAUAACUGGCCCAGCCACCCAGCCCAACUGGGCUAUCGCCCAUGCUAGUGACAGCACUCCUGACCCAAUCACAGCGGUGAUGAUAUGAGCACUGGCAGUUACCCAUGUCCCAGUUCUUUUAGGUCGACCGUCAUCAUCCAGGUUCUUGUGAGUUCCACCGUUUUCAUUUCCUUCGAGGUCUGCCUGUUCCAAGUACAUGCUGUUGCUGUUGUGUUGCAUCUCUCUAGCCAUCUCUCUCUCUCUCUCUCUCUCAAUUUGUGUGGUUGAAGUUG